rnacentral:rRNA from 1 species
UACGAAGGGGGCUAGCGUUGCUCGGAAUCAUUGGGCGUAAAGCGCACGUAGGCGGCCUGUUAAGUCGGGUGUGAAAGCCCUGGGCUCAACCCAGGAAGUGCACACGAAACUGGCGGGCUUGAAUAUGGAAGAGGGUCGCGGAAUUCCCGGUGUAGAGGUGAAAUUCGUAGAUAUCGGGAGGAACACCAGUGGCGAAGGCGGCGACCUGG